ACGGAGGGGGCUAGCGUUGUUCGGAAUUACUGGGCGUAAAGCGCACGUAGGCGGCCAUUCAAGUCAGAGGUGAAAGCCCAGGGCUCAACCUUGGAACUGCCUUUGAAACUAGAUGGCUAGAAUCCUGGAGAGGCGAGUGGAAUUCCGAGUGUAGAGGUGAAAUUCGUAGAUAUUCGGAAGAACACCAGUGGCGAAGGCGACUCGCUGGACAGGUAUUGACGCUGAGGUGCGAAAGCGUGGGGAGCAAACAGGA
rnacentral:rRNA from 1 species